UUCUGGCAGGAUUGACAGAUUGAGAGCUCUUUCUUAAUUCGGUGGAUGGUGGUGCAUGAUUGUUCUUAGUUGGUGGAGUGAUUUGUCUGAUUAAUUCUGAUAACGAACGAGACUCUAGCCUACUAAAUGGGUGCGUGGUUUUCUGCACUUUGCACCCUUCUUCGAGGGACAAGCGGCUCCUAGCCGCACAAAACAGAGCAAUAACAGGUCUGUGAUGCCCCUAGAU
rnacentral:rRNA from 1 species